rnacentral:lncRNA from 1 species
ACCAACCUCGUCGCUAGCCGGCACCCUAUUCUCCUUUGCUUCCACCGAACAUCUCUUGUAUGGUUUGAAGCCUGUUUUGCGUGAUUUAAGCUUCAGGUGUGACAGUUCAUUGGGGAAGGAAGUUCUUGGCUCAUCCAUCAUGUCAAGAUCAUGAUCAAUUGUUGUGGCGUUCUUGUUGAGGUCAACCGUCACUGUGGUCACUUCAUCUUCCUCCUCCUUGGCAACCUCCUUUGAUUCUUCUGCCUGUGGGGGAGAAAAGCUUUGUGGAAGCUUUUCUCUACUGAACAGCGCAUCGAAAGCCAUACGACCCUGUCAACAAAAAUGUGAAUUAGAAAAAUGAUGGAUGCUCAAAUAUUUAGAUAGAAGUGAUUUUGCAUAUUGUUGGUAGGCUACAACCUCUUCAGAAACUUCCUUCCAUGAAUCACUUGUGCUUCCACUGCUUCUAAAUUUGCGGUGGUUAGUGUCACCGGCUGAAGAGUUACUGCAGGAGGCUUGCUUUGCCUUGUCAUUGGCCUUAUCUUCUUUCUCAGGAACAUUUCCUGCCUCUACAUCGCUACUUGAAGGUGUGUUGGAGCCACAUGAAGAGCGAUCCUGCUUUUUCUUAUUCCUGAAUGCAUCACUAAUGUCAGCUCCUGUAGUAGGUGCAGCAUCAGUAUUCUGGACAGGAGAUAUCUUUAACUCAGUAUGGAGAGACAUGUCGCCUUUUCUAGUCCCAUCAGACUCUGAAGACACAGCAACUCUCAAAGCUUCAGACUGGCCUUGUUUCUGAGCCUCUUGGCAUCCCUUCUGUGCAUUUUCAACUGGGGAAUCUCUGUCUUUGUCUAAAGGUCGUGGAACAUCUGCUGUGGGAAAGGCAGCACUAGGAGCUGGUACAAAUGGAAAAGCCAUGGGGGGAGUGAAAAAAGGGAGAAGACCUUGUGUUGCCCACCAUGCAGAUGCUGCAGCAACUGUAGCUGCUACAAUAGAAGCCAUGCUUGGAGGAGAGCCUAAGUUCCUUCCUUGAACACCCUCUGCAGGAUUUUCUUGAGUUGGAUCAACAGGAGUGUUACCUUCUGCUGCUGGCCAGUACGAUGCUGCGAGCCUAGCGGCUGCAUGGAUGGCAGGGUUUGACAACAAUGUGGAAACAAGCAUGCUGGAGAAAGUGGAUGACAUGUUGACGAAUGUUCUGUAGGUAUCUUGGUUGCAGUUGCACUGCAUCAUCGGAGCAAAGGCAGCAUAGUUAUGAGGAAAAGGUUGUGGUGUGGCACUGCUAUCAAAUUUUGGAUCCGUAGAAAGCAUUGGAUGGAUGCAUGGGUUCAUACUUCCAUUGACUCCCACUUGAUCGCCUGUUUGAUCAGGACGAGUUCCGUCAGUUCCAGUAACAGGAAUGCUAGUUGCCCCAUUUCUCUCCGCCAGGGAGUGUGAGGUCCUUGCAGUUUGUUUGUCCACGUAUGUUGUCUCCGAAGACUUUGGCUUUAGCUUCAUUUGUUGCAUUGAGAAGUCCAAAUAUUCUUCAUUAGAAUAGUCACAUUUAGAGCUGACGUGGAUUCCAUUAACCCUUCCAAUUUCCGGAACAUCGAUCUCUUUUACAUCCUCUUGCAUGGUGGGAUUAAUAGAAUUCUUUUCUGUGGUGGUCAUAUCUCGGAUUUCUGUUUUGGUUGGUUCAACCCCCCUGGGUACACCAUUAUUCGAAGAGCUUUUGUUAACUGAAGAAAAUGAUGCAGAUGGAGCAUCUCGGAAGAGAUUAAGAACUUCCGAGCAACUUCCUUUUUCAGACACCUCUUUCCUCUGAAAUUUCUGGAUGCAAGCCGGUUUACAUUUAAAGAAAAUGAAAGAUAUUAAUACAGAGGUUAAAUUAGGAAAAUCUUAAGAAAACAUAAUACCAUGGAGCAUUUACCUGCAGAGACAUAUCGCCUACCAUUUGUACAUUGCCACUGCUCAGUGUAAUAUUUGAUUUUGAUGACUUGUCAUUUGGAAGUUCCUUCGUUGGUGUUUCAGAGCUGAGACCAUUUUUUCGAGGAUAUGGACUGUUAGGCUUCCUUUUAGGCCGUGGUGGAGGUAUGUCAAUGUCAUGAGCUUGCCCUGGAGAAGUCCCGUUGUUCAUAGCUUCCUUUUCCAACUGCAAAUUUCCUAAUUUGUUAGGUGCAGACAUAGAAACAAAAUAACAUGCUUGAGGAACAAAAUCUUUUGAGUACUUGAACUGUUGCCACUGACUGGGUUUCAUUAGUCUGUAAAUUUCUAGAAUCUUACAAGGUAACUGAAAACAUAGUCAGCUUAUAGAGGCCACCAAUAUUGGGAACAUGCAUUUCCUAGCUGGCAGAGUUCAGCACCAAUAUACAAAUUCAAGCCAAUCAGAAAAUAGUUGGAGAAUAUGUGUGUCUCAGAGGAGGAAAGGGCAAUGGCAGUGACAAGUUGAUUUUCUGUUUGCAUCAGUUCUUUCUUAAUAUUAUGAAUAAACAGUAUGUUUAUGAAGAAAAAAUGUUCAAAGCAUGCAACAUAAGCACAAUAGUCUUUUGAUCCCUUUAGCCAAGUUAUGCUCAACCAAAAUUACGAAAAUUUUCAAGUUUGGCAAUUUCCCAGUCCCUGAAGUGAACAUUUUAUCUAGGUCAUACCACAUUUGCAAAUUAUGCCCGAUUGUUCAAAUUAUGAAAUUAGAGAAAAUGACAUUUAGGACAAGCUAAUUAGUCAUAUAUUUACAAAGGGAGGGAGGAUAUUUCAAUCAUGAGGCAAUUAACAGUUGCUAUUAGAUAGCUUUAAAAGUCUAAAGUAGAGACAAUACACUAUGUUUUGCUGAUCUACAGAUUGCCAACUGCCAGAAGGAUGGAAAGGGUACUGUCCACAAGCUUGUCCGAGGACAAUGAGCAGAACUGAUAAGUGGGUUAGCAAUGAUGACAAUGAUGGGCAGCACUAGGUGGCACCUGGGCAAUCCUGUCCUAAAAAAACUAAAAUGUGACUCUGAAACCAUCUCAUGGAAAACGAGAGAUUAGAACUACAGAAAAAGGCAACAGUUUUUGGAAAACAUUCUUGGUACCCGCAGGCUUGUCAGCACUCAGCAGCGAGCUUUUGCCUUGGCAUGUGGCUUGAUAAAAAGGACAGAAGUAGGGCACAGAAAAGUUAAAAACCUUUGCCUCCUUCUACAUCUUCCUAAUUAUCCCCACAUUGCACUUGCAGGAUGAAGCUGGAUGGUGGGGAACGUGUGUGAAUGGAAUAAAAUACAAACAUGUAAUUUUCUCUUUCUUUAACAACCUUCUAAGGAAAUAAAGAAAGAUUCUUUACUCAAAACCUCCAAUCACAUCAGAAAGAAAUAUAUAUUUUAGUGUUGCUGACAAACCUGAAGCUGCUGGUAAAUUUGGACUAAAUCAAAAGAGCCACUAGAGAACUGCGACUGGAUCAUCACAAUAAGCACAUACAGACUUGCAGUCUAGCCAGUCCCUUAAUUACUGGGACAAAGGGGCUGGUUAGGUAUCAUUCAAUAGGGUUCUCAAUUCGCAUUUGAAUGUUGCCUCUGGAUCUCACCCUCCUACUGUUUCUUGUUGUUGUUAACUUCAGAGGUUGAUCAGCCAAUAUAAAGCAUUAUAAUUGGAUUAAUGAACUCUUAUCAUAAUAUUAAUUAUCAAUAAUGAAUUGGGCACCAGUAAAAGCCAAAACAAAUAAGAAUCUUCUGACUUCAUUGAGAAUCUUUUCAAACAUGUUCAGGUAUAAAGUAACAAAUUAUGGUGAUUAGACAGGAAGGCCUUGUCUAGUGGUAUAUUGGGAAAACAUAUAGUUACUAUGUCGAACUGGAAUAUUCUGGCAAGAAAUCAGUAUGUUAACAUUUUACAGAAAAAGUGAGAUUUCAUCAUUUCAGCUAGCCGUAUCAGUUUUUGUUAUUCCUUCCAAUAAGAUGGUGCCGGCUGAAAAGCAUGCAUGAUUCUAGAGAGGAGAGGGAUAGGAAUAGACUGGGGAGAAAGAGGACCUAUGGAGCCUUGAUUCAUUAUUUUCUACCCAAAUCCAUAGAAAUACUCAUCAAUUCAUACCUGAGGAGUCAUCUUAUCUUUAAAAACAACCCUGAAUAAUUUCAAAACCAAGUAGCUAGUUCAACUUGGGUGGAAAUCAAUAUAAUUUGACUGGGAGGACAGAUAACUUUCCAACCAACACUGACCUGGGGCACAUUGAACCUGUGCAUAACAAUAUCCAUGCAUAUGAUAGCACCAGAUCUUUUGAGCUACUUCUAUGAAAGGCAAGACACUCAAGACCCUUACUGAUGGAUAUAUUGGCUAUGAGACCACUUUAAACCUAUCUUCCUGCCAUCAUGGUGCUGACACUCCAAGUUAUCUUAAAUUGUCCUGAUGGACCACAAAAGGUUUUCAACAUUAAAUUUAACUGAAAAACAUGGAAAGUUAUGUAGUCCAAAAGUCGUUUCGGCAGUUUUUCUUGACCAGUAAUUAAGUAAACAACGUUAACUGCAUAAAAAAGAUGCCAUCCCUACUGUGCAGGUUAUAUGAGAAAGCUUUAAAGUAAUUUAUGUAUCAUAAAUAUUAUUUCCUGAUCUCAGAUUGCCAUGGCGCGGUUCAGUUAGAUCUUGGAACGCCAACCAUAAUGCCAUCAUCAUUGACCAAGCAGGAAUGCAGCACAGUUGGAUUUGAGGAGAUUACAGCAAGAUGCACUUUGUGACAUUACCAGAAAUAUAACUGAGGGAUAUCAAAAGCAGUAAAAUAUUAGAAUUCUGUGUGCAUGUUGCUACUUACAGGUUUCCACAAAUAAAACUGAAUCUUUGGUUUGGGUUUGUUAUGGGGCAGGCUGAGUCAUGGGCCUUUGGCCCAGCAUGGCAUGGCAGCAUGCCCAAGUACUGUAGCAUUGUUGUGGUAUUGUAGUGCCGCCAGUCACCAUCAGGUUAGUUAGUAGGGAUGAGGUUAGGUUGUUAAGGUUAGGGCUAGCUCGACCUCUAUAUAAGCAGGAGGCCCGGCAUCCAGUUUCAAAAAAAGAAGGGGCCAGGGAUCCAUUUGGAACCAAGAAAGAAGUAGUGAAAUCCCCUUUCUAAUCUACAGUUUACUGUCCCUCAAAGCUGACAGCUAUCUAACUAUCUUCCCAGCAAUGUUUACCGAUUAAUGAACCGCAAUACAUUACAAGGUUGGUCACCACCAAAUCAGAUCCAAAAAGAAGCCCAUUCACAGUGAAUUUCAGCUCACAAAAGUCAACCAGCAGCUAUCAUUAUAUGGCCGUGAUUACUGCCUAAAGUAUUGAUAUAGAUAUACCAGUGCAUCUGAAGUGUGAUGGUUUGAGGAAGGCCCGUGAACUAGUUAAUGCCAUGAGCAAUAGUGGACAUUCCAAAUGUUCCUUUCACCCUUUAGGUUCUCAACAUAGCAACCUAAUCUAACAAACCUAGAUAGGCCAAAUGAUCACUCUCCAAUAAUAAUAUAUUUAAGACAGUGACUGCUAGAAUGCAGACUGUUCUUCACUAACUGCUUAGAAUUGCCCUCAGCCUGUACGUAGAAGCCUCACCAUGAUUUCCAAAUUCCAACAUUGUUUCAGCUGAGUGGAGGGUGGAUUUUUUUUAACUCACCCAUCUCUUCCCUGCUCCACCUAAAAGUCCGCUUGUAAAAAAAGGGUAAAAUUAUAAGCACCAUAUGUAUUCAUUAGGCUAACAGUAUGUUGCUUGUCACCCUAAAUUUAAUGUGAAAGCAUCUCCGAUAUUGGUGAGUAGUUGAGUACAAUGGCGCAGUGCUUUCAUCCCUUAAUCACCUACUAACCAAAAACACCAAAAGCAAGAUCAGAUAGGCAUGUUUGGUUGGAAUAUAUGAGCUUUCAGAGCCCAGAAAACCAUCAUAUUUCUCAAAAUACCAACCUUGCCAUCCUCUCUUCCAUACAUCUGGCAAGGAUGUCAUGGAGAGGGAUGGAGUAAUCUCAUUGAGGCAACAAUUCAAUGGCUGUCCUAUAAAUUUUCCAAUCUUAUGAUUGCCUGGUUCAGGAUUUGCCACCCCAUCUCACUGACAUGUGGGAUAGCCUAUGUCAAUGGAUGUGAGGCAGGGUGGCAAAUGGCAAGUCGUGAAGUGCUGAUAGAUGUGAGUUCUUAAAUAACCGUGGUGGCAGCCCAGCCCCUACAAGGUACAGGACAGACAGGUCGCCAGCAGAAAAAGGAACAGAGGAAAGGGCAGUAGGGGAUGAACAGAAACAGCGAAUACUUCUUUUCGGCUCAUAUCAUGUUAUGCGUUUAGUAGUAUGCUGAUCUUUUAUCUUCAUCAAAUCCAGCAUUCAAGAAAUUUAUUUGCAACUUAAUAUUUGUCAUACACAAUGAAAAAUCUCCAUGUUACUCUACCAAGUUCCCCCAUCCCAUUAUUUUGCACUUCAGUCAUUUUACACAAUGUAGAUGAUUAAGCUUAAUGUCAUAUGCAAAUAAAUGAAUCAGGUAAAAGUACACUUCCUAGCAUGUUUUCCCAAUUUCUAUAUGCAUUACUUUAAUCUAUUACGCAAUAAACAGAGCACUGCGGUCAAGAUGAUGUUUUCUUUCAAGUCAUUAUAAUCAAAAGAAAUAAAUCAUGCAUUCUUCAAACCCAUCACUGUGGCACACACAUCGAAAGAAAUAAAGAGAGAAAACAAGAAAAUAAUGCAGUGAAGUUUGGAACCGAAAAAUCAGGACACAAACACAAAUGCUGUUCAGCUAAUCUAAAGGCGAUGGCAACAAGAAAGCUAGGGAAACAGUGGUGAACCAAACAAAGGCACUAGCCAAUCAGAUAAAGAAAGAACCUUGGUGAAGAACUUCUGAGCGUGACUUCUGAUCUGCACAGCCGUCUUUGUCCCAACAUGUUCUAUGGAAUAAUUCAGAAGCCAGACAACAAACAGAAAAAAGUACAAAUCCAUAUCAAUAAGCAAACUAAAUUUACAUGAAUAAACCAAAUGGAGAUUGUUGAAGUCAGGAAACAAUAGCAUAAAACUACUUGAAUACAAUAUCUUUGGAGAUUUUACCCUCUAUGCGCUGCCACGCUCUGCCAUAAAGUUUCAAGGCUUCAAGGAACCGUUUGUGCUCUGCCUCAGUCCACCGCUCCCGCUGCUUUGUUAUCGUGUACGGCUUUCUCACCUACAUACAACAGUGAUAAAAUCUUCCUUCUUUAUGAGAAAACAACAAACACAUCACACAACAACUCACCUUUACCACCGUUUCCUCACCAGAGGAAUUCACCUCCAUCUCCAAAUCCAGGAAAAAGAAACAGAAAUAGAAAGGAAUUGUCCAACAGCUGCUCGCUUGGUCACUUGGAGUUGAGGUCAUCUAUAAACAAGAGAGCUCCUCCUUCCAUAUCUCCAACCAAACGCUGGACCUGACGCAAGUAGUACCUCAUAUCUCCUCCUAGACCUCUAUAUCACACCAGU